rnacentral:tRNA from 1 species
GCAGGUAUAGUUUAAACCAAAACGUUAGAUUGUGAUUCUAAAAAUAGAAGUUAAAACCUUCUUGCCCGCC